rnacentral:snRNA from 1 species
AUGCUUACCUGCCAGGGCAGACUGACCAGGAAGGUGGGUUUUCCCAGGUCGAGGUUCACCCAUUGUCCUAGUGUGCACUAACCCUUGUUUUCCCCAAGAGCAAAUUAAUUUAUUUGCAGUAACAGGAGAUGGCAUUCACUCCCCUGUGAUAAUUAAAAAAGAAUGACGUUGCCAUCUUCAU